CUCAACAAUUCAGCAGUCACCACAGCUAAAUGCUGUGUCAAACUGCAGCCGUGGUGUUCUGUGAUCACCAUGGUAACAGCAGAGCCCCGCAAGUUUAUGAGAAGGCCAUUUCCUGGACAGAGGCCGAGGUGGGGCAGGUUCAAUUCCAUGAGCUGAACAAUGAGAAAAUUGGAAAGUGCAGUUUUGAGGUGUGGAUGGAUGCCGGCACUCAGAUUUUCUUCUCCUCUGGUAUCUGCAUGGGAUGUCUCAUUGCUCUGGGCAGCUACAACAGAUUUAACAAUGACUGCUUGAAGUGGGUGGUGCAGACACACAUACACAUACUAUGAGAGUGCAGUGACUAGAAGACACCAUUGCUGUACAACCAUGUGCAAGGCCUUUUCUUUCUCAUAUGGACGAAUGAAUUGUAAAUAUUUUGAUCACACAAUGAAGACCUUAUAGUUCAGACAUUCAAAACAACGCAUGACUCAAUGUAUUCAAAGGAAAAUGAAUGAAUUAGAAGAAGAGCAAAAGAUCCUAUACUGACAUUGUGUUUGAUACAUUUGAAUCAUCAAAAUGACCAGCAUAGCCAAAAGAUUCAAUUAUGUACGUGCGUAAGCAAAACACAAAGGCUGAAUAUGGAUUACGAAAGAGGUCUGCACUCAGAAACAAGCAUAUCAUUCCUUUUAGUGGUUUUAAAAUCAUAAAUAUGCGCAGAAACAUACGUUACAGCUCAUACGCCUUUAUCAGGAGUACAAGGACUGAAAUGGAUAAAAAUCUUUUGUGGUUCUUACGUAAGAAUGCAUGUAUUCAUAAGGACUUGGGGGUUGGGAAAGCUAUAACAUAAAGCAAGAGUUGGCAGAGUUCUUCAGGAAAUGACUGUUCUACUGACAUGACCCAACAUUGUAUAACCAGUUAAACAGGUUUAGAGGUAUCAUUGUGAGAGUUGUCAUUGUUUAUGGCCAGUAGAUUGCAUAAAAGUAAAAUAAAUAUGCGCCUUUGAGUUUUC